AAUAUUGCACAAUGGGGGAAACCCUGAUGCAGCGACGCCGCGUGAGCGAAGAAGGCCUUCGGGUCGUAAAGCACUUUCCUAAGGGAAGAAACUGACGGUACCCUAGGACGAAGCCCCGGCUAACUCCGUGCCAGCAGCCACGGUAAUACGUAGGGGGCGAGCGUUACCCGGAAUUACUGGGCGUAAAGGGUGCGUAGUCGGCCUUUUAAGUCCGAUGUGAAAGGCUACGGCUUAACCGUAGUUAGCAUUUGAAACUAAAAGGCUUGAGUGCAGGAGAGGAGAGUGGAAUUCCUAGUGUAGCGGUGAAAUGCGUAGAUAUUAGGAGGAACACCAGUGGCGAAGGCGACUCUCUGGACUGCAACUGACGCUGAGGCACGAAAGCGUGGGUAGCGAACAGG
rnacentral:rRNA from 1 species